GUGUAUCAGUUCUUCCUAACACAUGUUUCUAAUCUGAGUUAUUUCUCACCGACAGUGUUUGUGACAUCAGUUCCCAGCCGUAAUGAAACCACUUUGGUUUGGACCCUGAACCAUUGGUACCUGGUGGCCCUUCUUCUGCCACUGGUGAUACUGGUCAUCAUCAUCUGUAUGCUCAGAAAGAAAUGUGAGUUAGAGAAUCAAACCAGGAUCAGAGAGAGGAGCAAUGACACCACUGUUCCCACAGUUA